UACAGAGGUCUCAAGCGUUGUUCGGAUUCAUUGGGCGUAAAGGGUGCGUAGGUGGCGCCGUAAGUCGGGUGUGAAAUUUCGGAGCUUAACUCCGAAACUGCAUUCGAUACUGCGGUGCUUGAGGACUGGAGAGGAGACUGGAAUUUAUGGUGUAGCAGUGAAAUGCGUAGAGAUCAUAAGGAAGACCAGUGGCGAAGGCGGGUCUCUGGACAGUUCCUGACACUGAGGCACGAAGGCUAGGGGAGCAAACGGG
rnacentral:rRNA from 1 species